rnacentral:lncRNA from 1 species
GUGGGGGCCCCUGGAAAUUGGGGGCCCCCUGCGAUCGCCCAGCUCGCUCUCCGCGAUCGACGGGCCUGUAUCUCCUCUCCACCGCUGAGCCAUCUCCACGGCCGGCGACGCCCUCCCUUUCCGCCGCUCCCCCUCCCCCCACCGGCGGCACCCCUCCCUCUCCGCCCCCUUCAUCCUCAGCCACGGCCCACGGCGGCAAGCAGCGCCCUCGCUCGGUGGCGGCGCCCUCUCUCUGCAGGCGGCGCCCUCCCCCCAGCCGGCGGCGCCCUCUCCUCGGCGGCAUCAUUGUCUUCUCUGGCACAGUGGAGGCAACCCCUUCCCUGCCUCGGCGACAACAUCCUCCUUGCGGCGUACGGUGGGGCGCUCGCCAAGCCGCCACGACCUCGGGGCAGCGGCGUGCUUGCCUCUGAUGUGAGCAGUGGCGCCGGUUUUUUAGUUUUCUGUGAUGAUUUUGAUUCAUUGUUGUUGAAUUUGUGA